UACGAAGGGGGCAAGCGUUACUCGGAAUUACUGGGCGUAAAGCGCGCGUAGGCGGGUUUGUAAGUCGAUUGUGAAAGCCCUGGGCUCAACCCGGGAAUUGCAGUCGAAACUGCAAAUCUUGAGUGCCUGAGAGGAUGGCGGAAUUCCCGGUGUAGAAGUGAAAUUCGUAGAUAUUCGGAGGAACACCAGUGGCGAAGGCGGCUCACUGGUCCAUUACUGACGCUGAGGUGCGAAAGCGUGGGGAGCAAACAGG
rnacentral:rRNA from 1 species